CGCAUGCAGAGGACCGGUCAGCCUCCAUGGCGAGGAGAGAUGGGAAAGGCAGAGCUGAGAGUGCUUUAUGAAAUGCCCCCAGGCUUACUCAAACAGAGAAAGUCAGGGUAACGAGUCAGAGGGCAGGAAUCUGGCGGGUCAGAAAGAUCAGGAGCCAGCAGGGAAGCGGAUUGAUGACAGCCGACUCCGGCGGCACCAGGCGGCAGCGGCUGCGGGUUAUCCCAGCGGGCGCAGCCUGUACUCCUCUCCUGCCCCUGCGGGAGCUGGAAGCUGAGUGACACCAGCCCGAGGCCUGCAGCGCAGGGCCAGAGACCGCUGGCUGGGCCCAGAACGGGAAAUUCCUUUAUGGCACUCUGACUCUGGUUCUGGUGUGACGCUUUGGGCCUGGAGUGUGGAGCCAUGGAAGCCUGGACUUAUGGAAGCCUGGACUUAUGUCCCCUUAAGUCUUCUCUUCAUUCCUCAUGUGACUCAGGCUCCAGCUUUUUAACAUCCUGGCCACCCACCUCUGGAUGAGCUCCUUAUCCAGAAUUUGAUGUACUGGACACAUCAUUUAUUAAUUUUUAAAAUUAAAAAAAAUUUUUUUAGAUGGAGCCUAGCUCUGUCAUCCAGGCUGGA
rnacentral:lncRNA from 1 species